GCUUACGGCCAUACCACCCUGAACACGCAGUCCGAUCUCGGAAGCUAAGCAGGGUCGGGCCUGGUUAGUACUUGGAUGGGAGACCGCCUGGGAAUACCAGGUGCUGUAAGCU
rnacentral:rRNA from 1 species